CUUUAUUGGAGAGUUUGAUCCUGGCUCAGGAUGAACGCUGGCGGCGUGCCUAAUACAUGCAAGUCGAGCGAAUGGAUUGAGAGCUUGCUCUCAAGAAGUUAGCGGCGGACGGGUGAGUAACACGUGGGUAACCUGCCCAUAAGAC
rnacentral:rRNA from 1 species